rnacentral:rRNA from 1 species
CCUACGGGAGGCAGCAGUGAGGAAUAUUGGUCAAUGGACGAGAGUCUGAACCAGCCAAGUAGCGUGAAGGAUGACUGCCCUAUGGGUUGUAAACUUCUUUUAUAUGGGAAUAAAAUGUUCCACGUGUGGGAUUUUGUAUGUACCAUAUGAAUAAGUAUCGGCUAACUCCGUGCCAGCAGCCGCGGUAAUACGGAGGAUCCGAGCGUUAUCCGGCUUUAUUGGGUUUAAAGGGAGCGUAGGUGGAUUGUUAAGUCAGUUGUGAAAGUGUGCGGCUCAACCGUAAAAUUGCAGUUGAAACUGGCAGUCUUGAGUACAGUAGAGGUGGGCGGAAUUCGUGGUGUAGCGGUGAAAUGCUUAGAUAUCACGAAGAACUCCGAUUGCGAAGGCAGUUCACUGGACUGCAACUGACACUGAGGCUCGAAAGUGUGGGUAUCAAACAGGAUUAGAUACCCGAGUAGUC